rnacentral:rRNA from 1 species
GACGAACGCUGGCGGUGUGCUUAACACAUGCAAGUCGAACGGUAAGGCCCUUUCGGGGGUACACGAGUGGCGAACGGGUGAGUAACACGUGAGUAACCUGCCCUCAUCUCUGGGAUAACAGUCGGAAACGGUUGCUAAUACUGGAUAUGAGCUUGCAAGGCAUCUUGUGGGUUGGAAAGAUUUUUUUGGUUGGGGAUGGACUCGCGGCCUAUCAGCUUGUUGGUGAGGUAGUGGCUCACCAAGGCUUCGACGGGUAGCCGGCCUGAGAGGGCGACCGGCCACAUUGGGACUGAGAUACGGCCCAAACGCCUACGGGAGGCAGCAGUGGGGAAUAUUGCACAAUGGACGGAAGUCUGAUGCAGCAACGCCGCGUGCGGGAUGACGGCCUUCGGGUUGUAAACCGCUUUCAAUUGUGACGAAGCUUUUUGUGACGGUAGCAGUAGAAGAAGCACCGGCUAACUACGUG